rnacentral:rRNA from 1 species
AGAGUUUGAUCUUGGCUUCAGGGAUGAACGCUGGCGGCGUGCUUAACACAUUGCAAGUCGAGCGAUUCUUCUUUCAGAGAAGAGCGGCGGACGGGUGAGUAACGCGUGGGUAACCUGCCCUGUACACACGGAUAACAUACCGAAAGGUAUGCUAAUACGAGAUAAUAUGCUUUUAUCGCAUGGUAGAAGUAUCAAAGCUUUUGCGGUACAGGAUGGACCCGCGUCUGAUUAGCUAGUUGGUAAGGUAACGGCUUACCAAGGCGACGAUCAGUAGCCGACCUGAGAGGGUGAUCGGCCACAUUGGAACUGAGACACGGUCCAAACUCCUACGGGAGGCAGCAGUGGGGAAUAUUGCACAAUGGGCGAAAGCCUGAUGCAGCAACGCCGCGUGAGCGAUGAAGGCCUUCGGGUCGUAAAGCUCUGUCCUCAAGGAAGAUAAUGACGGUACUUGAGGAGGAAGCCCCGGCUAACUACGUGCCAGCAGCCGCGGUAAUACGUAGGGGGCUAGCGUUAUCCGGAAUUACUGGGCGUAAAGGGUGCGUAGGUGGUUUCUUAAGUCAGAGGUGAAAGGCUACGGCUCAACCGUAGUAAGCCUUUGAAACUGGGAAACUUGAGUGCAGGAGAGGAGAGUGGAAUUCCUAGUGUAGCGGUGAAAUGCGUAGAUAUUAGGAGGAACACCAGUUGCGAAGGCGGCUCUCUGGACUGUAACUGACACUGAGGCACGAAAGCGUGGGGAGCAAACAGGAUUAGAUACCCUGGUAGUCCACGCCGUAAACGAUGAGUACUUAGCUGUCGGAGGUUACCCCCUUCGGUGGCGCAGCU